UUGACCUCGGAUCAGGCAGGGAUACCCGCUGAACUUAAGCAUAUCAAUAAGCGGAGGAAAAGAAACCAACAGGGAUUGCCUCAGUAACGGCGAGUGAAGCGGCAACAGCUCAAAUUUGAAAUCUGGCUCUUUUAGGGUCCGAGUUGUAAUUUGUAGAGGAUGCUUCGGCGUCGGCUCCGGUCUAAGUUCCUUGGAACAGGACGUCAUAGAGGGUGAGAAUCCCGUAUGUGAUCGGUUGCCCUUGCCAUGUGAAGCUCCUUCGACGAGUCGAGUUGUUUGGGAAUGCAGCUCUAAAUGGGAGGUAAAUUUCUUCUAAGCUAAAUACUGGCCAGAGACCGAUAGCGCACAAGUA
rnacentral:rRNA from 1 species